rnacentral:rRNA from 1 species
UUAAGCGACUAAGCGUACACGGUGGAUGCCCUGGCAGUCAGAGGCGAUGAAGGACGUGCUAAUCUGCGAUAAGCGUCGGUAAGGUGAUAUGAACCGUUAUAACCGGCGAUUUCCGAAUGGGGAAACCCAGUGUGAUUCGACACACUAUCAUUAACUGAAUCCAUAGGUUAAUGAGGCGAACCGGGGGAACUGAAACAUCUAAGUACCCCGAGGAAAAGAAAUCAACCGAGAUUCCCCCAGUAGCGGCGAGCGAACGGGGAGCAGCCCAGAGCCUGAAUCAGUGUGUGUGUUAGUGGAAGCGUCUGGAAAGGCGCGCGAUACAGGGUGACAGCCCCGUACACAAAAAUGCACAUGCUGUGAGCUCGAUGAGUAGGGCGGGACACGUGGUAUCCUGUCUGAAUAUGGGGGGACCAUCCUCCAAGGCUAAAUACUCCUGACUGACCGAUAGUGAACCAGUACCGUGAGGGAAAGGCGAAAAGAACCCCGGCGAGGGGAGUGAAAAAGAACCUGAAACCGUGUACGUACAAGCAGUGGGAGCACGCUUAGGCGUGUGACUGCGUACCUUUUGUAUAAUGGGUCAGCGACUUAUAUUCUGUAGCAAGGUUAACCGAAUAGGGGAGCCGAAGGGAAACCGAGUCUUAACUGGGCGUUAAGUUGCAGGGUAUAGACCCGAAACCCGGUGAUCUAGCCAUGGGCAGGUUGAAGGUUGGGUAACACUAACUGGAGGACCGAACCGACUAAUGUUGAAAAAUUAGCGGAUGACUUGUGGCUGGGGGUGAAAGGCCAAUCAAACCGGGAGAUAGCUGGUUCUCCCCGAAAGCUAUUUAGGUAGCGCCUCGUGAAUUCAUCUCCGGGGGUAGAGCACUGUUUCGGCAAGGGGGUCAUCCCGACUUACCAACCCGAUGCAAACUGCGAAUACCGGAGAAUGUUAUCACGGGAGACACACGGCGGGUGCUAACGUCCGUCGUGAAGAGGGAAACAACCCAGACCGCCAGCUAAGGUCCCAAAGUCAUGGUUAAGUGGGAAACGAUGUGGGAAGGCCCAGACAGCCAGGAUGUUGGCUUAGAAGCAGCCAUCAUUUAAAGAAAGCGUAAUAGCUCACUGGUCGAGUCGGCCUGCGCGGAAGAUGUAACGGGGCUAAACCAUGCACCGAAGCUGCGGCAGCGACGCUUAUGCGUUGUUGGGUAGGGGAGCGUUCUGUAAGCCUGUGAAGGUGUGCUGUGAGGCAUGCUGGAGGUAUCAGAAGUGCGAAUGCUGACAUAAGUAACGAUAAAGCGGGUGAAAAGCCCGCUCGCCGGAAGACCAAGGGUUCCUGUCCAACGUUAAUCGGGGCAGGGUGAGUCGACCCCUAAGGCGAGGCCGAAAGGCGUAGUCGAUGGGAAACAGGUUAAUAUUCCUGUACUUGGUGUUACUGCGAAGGGGGGACGGAGAAGGCUAUGUUGGCCGGGCGACGGUUGUCCCGGUUUAAGCGUGUAGGCUGGUUUUCCAGGCAAAUCCGGAAAAUCAAGGCUGAGGCGUGAUGACGAGGCACUACGGUGCUGAAGUAACAAAUGCCCUGCUUCCAGGAAAAGCCUCUAAGCAUCAGGUAACAUCAAAUCGUACCCCAAACCGACACAGGUGGUCAGGUAGAGAAUACCAAGGCGCUUGAGAGAACUCGGGUGAAGGAACUAGGCAAAAUGGUGCCGUAACUUCGGGAGAAGGCACGCUGAUAUGUAGGUGAAGUCCCUUGCGGAUGGAGCUGAAAUCAGUCGAAGAUACCAGCUGGCUGCAACUGUUUAUUAAAAACACAGCACUGUGCAAACACGAAAGUGGACGUAUACGGUGUGACGCCUGCCCGGUGCCGGAAGGUUAAUUGAUGGGGUUAGCGCAAGCGAAGCUCUUGAUCGAAGCCCCGGUAAACGGCGGCCGUAACUAUAACGGUCCUAAGGUAGCGAAAUUCCUUGUCGGGUAAGUUCCGACCUGCACGAAUGGCGUAAUGAUGGCCAGGCUGUCUCCACCCGAGACUCAGUGAAAUUGAACUCGCUGUGAAGAUGCAGUGUACCCGCGGCAAGACGGAAAGACCCCGUGAACCUUUACUAUAGCUUGACACUGAACAUUGAGCCUUGAUGUGUAGGAUAGGUGGGAGGCUUGGAAGUGUGGACGCCAGUCUGCAUGGAGCCGACCUUGAAAUACCACCCUUUAAUGUUUGAUGUUCUAACGUGGACCCGUAAUCCGGGUUGCGGACAGUGUCUGGUGGGUAGUUUGACUGGGGCGGUCUCCUCCUAAAGAGUAACGGAGGAGCACGAAGGUUGGCUAAUCCUGGUCGGACAUCAGGAGGUUAGUGCAAUGGCAUAAGCCAGCUUGACUGCGAGCGUGACGGCGCGAGCAGGUGCGAAAGCAGGUCAUAGUGAUCCGGUGGUUCUGAAUGGAAGGGCCAUCGCUCAACGGAUAAAAGGUACUCCGGGGAUAACAGGCUGAUACCGCCCAAGAGUUCAUAUCGACGGCGGUGUUUGGCACCUCGAUGUCGGCUCAUCACAUCCUGGGGCUGAAGUAGGUCCCAAGGGUAUGGCUGUUCGCCAUUUAAAGUGGUACGCGAGCUGGGUUUAGAACGUCGUGAGACAGUUCGGUCCCUAUCUGCCGUGGGCGCUGGAGAACUGAGGGGGGCUGCUCCUAGUACGAGAGGACCGGAGUGGACGCAUCACUGGUGUUCGGGUUGUCAUGCCAAUGGCACUGCCCGGUAGCUAAAUGCGGAAGAGAUAAGUGCUGAAAGCAUCUAAGCACGAAACUUGCCCCGAGAUGAGUUCUCCCUGACCCUUUAAGGGUCCUGAAGGAACGUUGAAGACGACGACGUUGAUAGGCCGGGUGUGUAAGCGCAGCGAUGCGUUGAGCUAACCGGUACUAAUGAACCGUGAGGCUUAACCUU